ensembl:lncRNA
GUUGGCUGAAGGCAGUGAAAGAGAGAUGUCCUUCAGGAAUGGCUGGGAUUGAGAAAGGGAGGGAAGACAGAGGCCAGUCCCAGGAAGAGGCCUCCAGCAAAGGGGGUGGUGCUAGAGCUGCAGGCCUGCCAGGUAUGGUGGUAGCACUCUUCAGGAUCUUAUUCCAGAAACUCUCUGCCUUGACUAUUGGCAGGGGAGCAAAGGAAUUUGCACAGAUGAGAGCCUGCCCAUCUCCAUGUCUGCCCAGUGAAAUCCUGCCUCUCCUCUAAGCCAGCUCAGAUCUCACCACCUCCGUAGGAACCCCCAUGGGUAUCCUGUCGGAAGUCCACGUUCCCUCCUCUAGAAUGGCACUGGGUCCUAUGAAAUCUUUUACAUCAUCUGAUGAGCAGGAAUUCUCACAACCAACACAGAAGACAGAUGGGUGGUGUUUUGUCAUAAACCUCCGUCUUAGGUAUUGAGCAGUAUACUCAGCCAGCAUGAGAAAACUUUUUUCAACUUUCUUGGAGAUUUAGGAAUAAUAAAAUGC